CAGCAGUUUUGUGAAGAAAAGUGGGAGAGAAAAUAACACCCAGAUAUAAUAGCAGGCAGUUUUCAUGAGCCAGAAAUUUAAUAUGCUUCAUGGACUGGGGAAGAAGCACUGUAUGCAGGAAGGAUAAUUUCACUGAAUAGCUCUUCAGAGAGAAUUUUUCUUAAGGUUUUUCCCAAUGAUCAGGUGAUACAACCCUUUCAGGCCCAGGAACGUCCAUAUGAACAUCUCUCCCAAGUCUUUACUGCAUCGUAUAUCACCGUAACUCUUUCUUCUUUCACUGAAGUCAAUAACCCAGUAAUUGGGAGUGUGUGCAGAAAACUGAAAUAUUGAACUCUUGCCAUUUAUCUUAUUGGAAUUGUUUUGCUGCCUUGAAUGAAAAAUAUUGAUCUACUCGAUCCCUUUAAGUACGAAAUUAUACUCUGAAAUGGGGCCCUCCAUAUGUGGGCACAAGACAAUUCUCCUCAUUGCUCUGCUUUGGAAAAAGUCCAGAGAAUUGGAGGCUGCAGAAGAACUCAUUGAAGAGACUGUGUGAUAAAAUGAUUAAUUUGAGAAGAAUUACAAGAUAAAAUUUAAAGAAAGAUUUAUGUUGCUUAGAAAUGUCAUUAAGGUAAAAUUAAAGCAAGCAAGCAAGGGGCAAGAAGCAGGAAGAAUGCAUCAUUUAAUAAAUGAAGUUAUUCAAGUCUCCAUCGAACCCAGUUUGAAACAUCAAGAGGAAUUCCUUCCAACUACAGAAUCAUUAGAAGACCCUCUGAUAAGUUACCAUACUUUACUGUACCUCCAGUUUUAUCAGGCCUAGUCAAUAGUUAUCAGAUGUGGAUAGUAAAAAUCCAGAAGACCACUAGAUGGCAGCAAAGAGAUACUUUGCUGCCAUCUAGUGGUCUUCUGAAUUUUUACUAUCCAGUAAAAAACUGUAAAUUUGCCACCAUUUGCUUAAUCAUCUGGAUUAUUGCAGCCCAAAUAUAGCCACUGUAGCAGCAAGAUAAAAGAAACAGAAAUACCAAUUUCUGAGGAAACCUUUUAUGCAGUAAGUCCACAAGCAAAGAAAUAAACAAAGCCCUGAUUUUUUUUUUUUUUCAGACCGGCUAUACUGCUUGGAGGCAAAAAUGCAUUUUACUCAAUAAGUUUUAUUUAUGCUAGCAAAAGUAUUGUAUUGCUCCAAGUUAGAAUGUACUUCAUGUUGCCGGCUUUUUAGCAAUCAGUCAAGGAGAAUAAAAGGUUCCAGUGGACAAUUGCUUAAACAUUUUAUUCAUCUUUCUACCAAAACAAAGAAACAAAACAAAACCAUCCAUAAUCCAAUUUUUAAUUCUUCCCAUUUUCAGGAGAAUUCUCUCUCUGUAGAGAAUGAAAGAAAGGAGACUGAACUCCCAAAUGUAUUCCUUUGUACAUUUUUUAAAAAUAGUGCUACAUCAAUCACAGUCAGAUUUUGAACACUGUAUUAUUGUGGCCACCAUUACGGUUUCAAACUAACUUACUAGAAAUGGAAAAUUUGGGAAUGCAAAUAAACAUAUCAUAGAUUUUGGAAGAAAAUAAAAAACAUUAUCCUGUCAAUAA